rnacentral:rRNA from 1 species
UGCGUAGGCGGCCUAAUAAGUCAGAAGUGAAAGGCUAUGGCUCAACCAUAGUGAGCUUCUGAAACUGUUAGGCUUGAGUUCAGGAGAGGAAAGUGGAAUUCCUAGUGUAGCGGUGAAAUGCGUAGAUAUUAGGAGGAACACCAGUGGCGAAGGCGACUUUCUGGACUGUAACUGACGCUGAGGCACGAAAGCGUGGUAGCGAACA